rnacentral:rRNA from 1 species
UACGUAGGGACCGAGCGUUGUCCGGAAUCAUUGGGCGUAAAGAGCGUGUAGGCGGCCACUUAAGUCCUGCGUGAAAUCUUGCGGCUCAACCGCAAGCGGUCGUGGGAAACUGGGUGGCUAGAGUGCGGGAGAGGAGAGUGGAAUUCCUGGUGUAGCGGUGGAAUGCGCAGAUAUCAGGAAGAACACCCGUGGCGAAAGCGGCUCACUGGACCACAACUGACGCUGAGGCGCGAAAGCUAGGGGAGCAAACAGG